rnacentral:rRNA from 1 species
AGUCACUGACAUUAGAUACCCGUGUAGUCCCAGCCCUAAACGAUGCGCGUUAGGUGUAUCGGUGACCACGAGUCACCGAGGUGCCGAAGGGAAACCGUGAAACGUGCCGCCUGGGAAGUACGGUCGCAAGGCUGAAACUUAAAGGAAUUGCGGGGGAGCACAACAACGGGUGGAGCUUGCGGUUUAAUUGGAUUCAACGCCGGAAAUCUUACCGGGACCGACAGCAACAUGAAGGCCAAGCUGAAGACUUUGCCGGAUUAGCUG